rnacentral:rRNA from 1 species
ACCGAGUGUAGGGUUCCUAGCGAGCCCAACCUCCCACCCGUGUUUACUGUACCUUAGUUGCUUCGGCGGGCCCGCCAUUCAUGGCCGCCGGGGGCUCUCAGCCCCGGGCCCGCGCCCGCCGGAGACACCACGAACUCUGUCUGAUCUAGUGAAGUCUGAGUUGAUUGUAUCGCAAUCAGUUAAAACUUUCAACAAUGGAUCUCUUGGUUCCGGCAUCGAUGAAGAACGCAGCGAAAUGCGAUAACUAGUGUGAAUUGCAGAAUUCCGUGAAUCAUCGAGUCUUUGAACGCACAUUGCGCCCCCUGGUAUUCCGGGGGGCAUGCCUGUCCGAGCGUCAUUGCUGCCCAUCAAGCACGGCUUGUGUGUUGGGUCGUCGUCCCCUCUCCGGGGGGGACGGGCCCCAAAGGCAGCGGCGGCACCGCGUCCGAUCCUCGAGCGUAUGGGGCUUUGUCACCCGCUCUGUAGGCCCGGCCGGCGCUUGCCGAACGCAAAUCAAUCUUUUUCCAGGUUGACCUCGGAUCAGGUAGGGAUACCCGCUGAACUUAAGCAUA